rnacentral:rRNA from 1 species
GACGAACGCUGGCGGCGUGCUUAACACAUGCAAGUCGAACGCUGAAGCUUGGUGCUUGCACUGGGUGGAUGAGUGGCGAACGGGUGAGUAAUACGUGAGUAACCUGCCCUUGACUCUGGGAUAAGCCUGGGAAACUGGGUCUAAUACUGGAUACGACAUGUCACCGCAUGGUGGUGUGUGGAAAGGGUUUUACUGGUUUUGGAUGGGCUCACGGCCUAUCAGCUUGUUGGUGGGGUAAUGGCUCACCAAGGCGACGACGGGUAGCCGGCCUGAGAGGGUGACCGGCCGCACUGGGACUGAGACACGGCCCAGACUCCUACGGGAGGCAGCAGUGGGGAAUAUUGCACAAUGGGCGGAAGCCUGAUGCAGCGACGCCGCGUGAGGGAUGACGGCCUUCGGGUUGUAAACCUCUUUCAGCACGGAAGAAGCGAAAGUGACGGUACGUGCAGAAGAGGCGCCGGCUAACUACGUG